rnacentral:rRNA from 1 species
UACGUAGGGUGCAAGCGUUAUCCGGAAUUAUUGGGCGUAAAGAGCUCGUAGGCGGUUUGUCGCGUCUGCUGUGAAAACUGGGGGCUCAACCCCCAGCCUGCAGUGGGUACGGGCAGACUAGAGUGCGGUAGGGGAGAUUGGAAUUCCUGGUGUAGCGGUGGAAUGCGCAGGAUAUCAGGAGGAACACCGGUGGCGAAGGCGGUUCUCUGGGCCUUACCUGACACUGAGGAGCGAAAGCGUGGGGAGCGAACAGG